rnacentral:rRNA from 1 species
CCUACGGGUGACUGCAGUGAGGAAUAUUGGUCAAUGGACGAGAGUCUGAACCAGCCAAGUAGCGUGAAGGAUGACUGCCCUAUGGGUUGUAAACUUCUUUUGUAUGGGAAUAAAACAGGGUAUGCAUACCCUCUUGUAUGUACCAUAUGAAUAAGAAUCGGCUAACUCCUUGCCCGCAGCCGCGGUCAUACGGAGGAUCCGAGCGUUAUCCGGAUUUAUUGGGUUUAACGGGAGCGUAGGUGGAGUGUUAAUUCAGUUGUGAAAGUUUGCGGCUCAAACGUAAAAUUGCAGUUGAAACUGGCAGUCUUGAGUACAGGAGAGGUAGGCGGAAUUCGUGGUGUAGCGGUGAAAGGCUUAGAUAGCACGCAGAACUCCGAUUGCGAAGGCAGCUCACUGGACUGCAACUGACACUGAUGCUCGAAAGUGUGGGUAUCAAACAGGAUUAGAUACCCUUGUAGUC